UACGGAGGGUGCUAGCGUUGUUCGGAAUCACUGGGCGUAAAGCGCGUGUAGGCGGUCUGUUAAGUCUGAUGUGAAAGCCCGGGGCUCACCCCCGGAAGUGCAUUGGAAACUGACGAACUCGAGUCCCGGAGAGGAGGGUGGAAUUCCUGGUGUGGCGGUGAAAUGCGUAGAUAUCAGGAGGAACACCGGUGGCGAAGGCGGCCCUCUGGACGGUGACUGACGCUGAGACGCGAAAGCGUGGGGAGCAAACAGG
rnacentral:rRNA from 1 species